rnacentral:rRNA from 1 species
AUACGGAGGGGGCAAGCGUUGUUCGGAAUUACUGGGCGUAAAGGGCGCGCAGGCGGUUUUGUUAGUCAGGCGUGAAAUCCCCGGGCUCAACCUGGGAAUUGCGUUUGAUACUGCGAAACUAGAGUUCGGGAGAGGGUAGUGGAAUUCCCAGUGUAGAGGUGAAAUUCGUAGAUAUUGGGAAGAACACCAGUGGCGAAGGCGGCUACCUGGACCGAUACUGACGCUGAGGCGCGAAAGCGUGGGGAGCAAACAGGAUUAGAAACCCCAGUAGUCC